ensembl:antisense Gm10830 predicted gene 10830
GGCUCCGGAGCGGGGGGAGGUGUAAUAGCGCGGGAGGUGGGGCUAAGGGGACCCUCAUCCUCCCUUUCCGACAAGUGGGGGUCCUGAGCGCUGCCCAGAAGGGGUCCAGAGAAUGUUGUGGGCUGGGGCACACCCGCCGGGGCAGAAAUUGGAGGACACCACGGACGUCGACAGAAUCCUUUCUAUCCUUCCUUUCAGCUGCCCGGUGUUCUCCACCCCUGCGUUAGCACUCUGUAGUCUGGGGACCUCCCGGGAACGUCCCGGGGCUAGCAACCAAGGGGGCUCUCGGAUGCUCUGUGGAUCGCCGCUUCACCCUUACUUUGGGGACGGUCACACGCGUCCCGCUUCCCCCGGUCGCUUUAGAUCAGGCGUCUGCGCCCUCCCCGGCUCCUCACCCCCACCCCCAGAGUCAAAUGUGGGCCUCUCCUGGAAAUCCUUUGCGAAGGGGACAAACUUUUGAGUGGACGAAAAUCUAUUGGAGCCUGUCCAGAGCAGCCAAGAUGAUGUUGCUGAACAAGUGUAGGCCAAAGCCUGAGGACCACAGUGCUCUGUCUUGACCCUGAUGCCAAAGGGAAUCAUCACACUGGGCCACCCUGCUCUGGGCUCUGGGUGCUUCACCUCUGUGACCCUGCUUCU